rnacentral:rRNA from 3 species
GUAGGUGAACCUGCUGCUGGAUCAUCA